AAUUUUGAUCUACUAACAUAAUGACUAGCAAACAUUUUCCUCGAGGACUUAGCAUGGGAAAUGCAAUCCAGAAAUGAGAAAAAGAAUUUCUCAAACAAACCAGGAUACUAAGGCAAAAAUGAGAAAAUAAUCUCUCACAGAAUCCAGGAUGAUAAGGCACUAGAAAAGGUCUGUGGGAUAUGCCCAAGAAAUUGAGGAAUGCGAAUAAAAAACAUGUGCAAGCAUCCACUCAAUACACAGGAUACGUCCAGGUUGGUUUAACACUCGAAGGUAAUAUGAUAUUCAAGCUCUUCAAAAUAUUACGUUUCACUCCUGUAAGGACAGAAAAAUAUUAAAGCUCUUCAAAGUAUUACGUUUUACUCCUGUAAGGAAAAAUAAGUGCAGAACUGAUACAGUUCACGAUUGUCUAUGAAGUGGUUGCCCCCUUUUAAUGGGGUAUUACGUUUUACUCCUGUAAGGAUGAAUAAAUGCAGAACUGGCUCAGCACACAAUUGUGUAUGCAGAGAAGCCCCAUUUUAAUGGGGCAUGGAAGUUCAGUUCUUCCUUUCUCUUCUAACGAUUAAAGUAAAUAUAUGCCAUAAUUUUUACCAUAAAUUGAAGUAUCCAGCUUUCUAUGAUCUUGCCAUAUACUGUUUACAUGGAUGUUCCUCAAGAUUAUGGGGUUGCAGAAGGGGAAGAAGAAUAUUGAAGCAAACAGUAAGUAUGAAAAGCUACACAAAAUAGAGGAGUUUUUGAACAUAACUAUCACCUGUUCAUCAAGGUUCGCUGAAGAAUUUCCUAUUCCAAUGGAGGAAUCAUCAGCAAUUCCUUCAGUAGUUUCCAUGAAGCCCUGAAAAAUGAAGGAAAUGAAAUAGACACUGAAGAAUAUGGAUUGCUACUAAGAUGCAAAAACAACAAGAAACCAUGAGUACAUGUCGUAUCAAAAGCGCUUUUUUCAAAUGCUGAUAAAAAUAUCAUUGAUCAGCUGAGGCUGUAUUGAUCAAGUACAAGGAGAAGCAUGAUCAGAGAGAAAUCACACACACUCUUCUACCUAACUGUUCCCCAGAUGGAGUAGCGUUCUGUUUUUCCCUUCACCACUCAUUUCUAUUUUAAGAUUUCUUGCUUACCAAAUAUAAUAUAUCUCAACAAGGAGAACCGCUGCAAGGGCAUCAUCACACAUUGACAAAGCAGGAGCAUGAUUACGGUCUAUUGGCCAAAGUGUAUAGCUUUAUGCAGCUUUAUGCUCAUGCACUUCAGUUAAUUUAUGUAUUCAAUUUGUAUUUAUUUUCUUUACUUGUAAGCAUAUGUACACACUGAUCAAACUGAGGAAGAAUAUCAAGACCCUCAAGGAUCCUCUCAAUGCCCUUCUUCAUUUUCGUUACUUUUCUUGAGCAGAUACAAUGCACCUACCCUGACACUUCCACUCUAGUAAUAGUGGUACAUAAUUGAUUGCGAUUGAUAUAAGCUCAUGCUCCCCCUUCUACAAAUUUAAUCAAAACUAUUUAUAUGAAAAUAUCCAUGUAAAUGAAUGGCAGAAAACAUAAUUCUAGAGGGUGUUUGAGUUCCAUUUUUUUGAAAAAAAAAAAAAA
rnacentral:lncRNA from 1 species